rnacentral:rRNA from 1 species
UACGGGGGGAGCAAGCGUUGUUCGGAAUUACUGGGCGUAAAGGGCGCGUAGGCGGCACGGCAAGUCGGGAGUGAAAGGCCUGGGCUCAACCGAGGAACUGCUUUCGAGACUGCCGAGCUAGAGUGCGGAAGGGGCAUCUGGAAUUCCCAGUGUAGCGGUGAAAUGCGUAGAUAUUGGGAAGAACACCUGAGGCGAAGGCGGGAUGCUGGGCCGACACUGACGCUGAUGCGCGAAAGCCAGGGGAGCAAACGGG